UUUGUAGAUAAAAAUAUACAUUAAAAAACAAAAAGAACAUAAAAUUUGAAAUUUAAGGAAAUGAACUUACCAAAACUACGUGGAAAUGUCAAUACUUCAGGUCACAGGCAACAUACAGUUUUCCAUAUUUACAGUAAGGUACACAAUUUCAGGCUUGCUUCGGUACCCGUGACGCUGAGAAGUGGCAUAGUGCGAGCGCAAAUAUAUUUUUUUAACUAUGACGAGUUAUAAGUGCAUAAGUAGAUGCUGUUCUUCUGUGAACACAGAAGUAACCUUUUCUGGUCUUCCAAGUGAUCCUUUAAGGUAAAUGUAUUUAAUUUAUUUAGUUUUAAAAUAAUACGCACCGUUUGUUUAGACGUGAAGCUGGGCUUCGUGCAGCUAAAAGAGAAGACCUGCUGCAAAAAGAAAACUUUAAAAAUUACAGAAUAUGUAGAAAGCAUUUUGCGGAAAAAUAUAUCUCAACUGGAGGGAAAAAGUUAUUUCCAAACGCUAUCCCUACAAUUUUUUGUAAUCAUAUUUGCGUACUUACAUCGACGGAAAUAAAUGAAACUGAAAUUAAUAUUAAUCUGGAAUCCGAAAGCGAAGAACCUCCACGAAAGACUUUGAUUUUAUCAGAUGUGAAUAACCUUAAAUCAAAUAAAGAUAUGAUUGACCAAACGACCAAUUAUAAAUUUGGUCAAAGUGAUUUUCCAAAGGCAUAUGUAAACACAGAUGUGACAGGCACUAAAGAUACGCCCAUCAAUUACAUUACAAGCAUAAAAUCACCAAGCAUAGGAACACAAACUUCAUCUGCAUUGACUGCCAAUAGCCCAAGAAAGCUGAAGUUGCGAUACCAAGUCAGAGGUUUAAAAAGGAAUAUAUUAAAACAAAAAAAGCAAUUUGAGCAGGCUAAAGCGAUUAAACCGAAACUCAAUAGUUUUAUUAAAUUAUGUGACAGCUUUUUAAAUAAAACUUUAUAUGAAAUAAUAAAAGUUCAAGCUAAAUUACAGCAUAAAGUAGGUAAAGCUAAACGAUAUCCAGAUAGUUAUAAACAGUUUGCUUUAGUUUUGUGUUUCUUGGGGCCAAAAGCAUAUAGAUUUCUCGCAAAAAUAUUAAAUUUACCUACUAAACGUACUAUGGAAAAAAUGACACAAAGUAUUGUUUCAAAACCAGGACUAAACGAACAAACAUUCAAUUCUCUUGCUAUUAAAGUUAAAACUAUGUCUGAACUUAAUAAGUAUUAUACCAUAUGUAUUGAUGAAACAUCUUUAAUGUCCUAUCUUUAUUUUAAUUUAGCAAAA